GGCCUUUCAUGAAUUAUGCAUGACGGCGUGCCUCGGCCAGGCUGGGGCUGGGCGAGGAUUGGCUGAAGGGGCUGUAAUUCAGCGGUUUCCGGAGCUGCGGCGGCGCAGACUGGGAGGGGGAGCCGGGGGUUCCGACGUCGCAGCCGAGGGAACAAGCCCCAACCGGAUCCUGGACAGGCACCCCGGCUUGGCGCUGUCUCUCCCCCUCGGCUCGGAGAGGCCCUUCGGCCUGAGGGAGCCUCGCCGCCCGUCCCCGGCGCACGCGCAGCCCCGGCCUCUCGGCCUCUCCCGGAGAAACAGUUGGGACCCCUGAUUUUAGCAGGAUGGCCCAAUGGAAUCAGCUACAGCAGCUUGACACACGGUACCUGGAGCAGCUCCAUCAGCUCUACAGUGACAGCUUCCCAAUGGAGCUGCGGCAGUUUCUGGCCCCUUGGAUUGAGAGUCAAGAUUGGGCAUAUGCGGCCAGCAAAGAAUCACAUGCCACUUUGGUGUUUCAUAAUCUCCUGGGAGAGAUUGACCAGCAGUAUAGCCGCUUCCUGCAAGAGUCGAAUGUUCUCUAUCAGCACAAUCUACGAAGAAUCAAGCAGUUUCUUCAGAGCAGGUAUCUUGAGAAGCCAAUGGAGAUUGCCCGGAUUGUGGCCCGGUGCCUGUGGGAAGAAUCACGCCUUCUACAGACUGCAGCCACUGCGGCCCAGCAAGGGGGCCAGGCCAACCACCCCACAGCAGCUGUGGUGACGGAGAAGCAGCAGAUGCUGGAGCAGCACCUUCAGGAUGUCCGGAAGAGAGUGCAGGAUCUAGAACAGAAAAUGAAAGUGGUAGAGAAUCUCCAGGAUGACUUUGAUUUCAACUAUAAAACCCUCAAGAGUCAAGGAGACAUGCAAGAUCUGAAUGGAAACAACCAGUCAGUGACCAGGCAGAAGAUGCAGCAGCUGGAACAGAUGCUCACUGCGCUGGACCAGAUGCGGAGAAGCAUCGUGAGUGAGCUGGCGGGGCUUUUGUCAGCGAUGGAGUACGUGCAGAAAACUCUCACGGACGAGGAGCUGGCUGACUGGAAGAGGCGGCAACAGAUUGCCUGCAUUGGAGGCCCGCCCAACAUCUGCCUAGAUCGGCUAGAAAACUGGAUAACGUCAUUAGCAGAAUCUCAACUUCAGACUCGUCAACAAAUUAAGAAACUGGAGGAGUUGCAGCAAAAAGUUUCCUACAAAGGGGACCCCAUUGUACAGCACCGGCCGAUGCUGGAGGAGAGAAUCGUGGAGCUGUUUAGAAACUUAAUGAAAAGUGCCUUUGUGGUGGAGCGGCAGCCCUGCAUGCCCAUGCAUCCUGACCGGCCCCUCGUCAUCAAGACCGGCGUCCAGUUCACUACUAAAGUCAGGUUGCUGGUCAAAUUCCCUGAGUUGAAUUAUCAGCUUAAAAUUAAAGUGUGCAUUGACAAAGACUCUGGGGACGUUGCAGCUCUCAGAGGAUCCCGGAAAUUUAACAUUCUGGGCACAAACACAAAAGUGAUGAACAUGGAAGAAUCCAACAACGGCAGCCUCUCUGCAGAAUUCAAACACUUGACCCUGAGGGAGCAGAGAUGUGGGAAUGGGGGCCGAGCCAAUUGUGAUGCUUCCCUGAUUGUGACUGAGGAGCUGCACCUGAUCACCUUUGAGACCGAGGUGUAUCACCAAGGCCUCAAGAUUGACCUAGAGACCCACUCCUUGCCAGUUGUGGUGAUCUCCAACAUCUGUCAGAUGCCAAAUGCCUGGGCGUCCAUCCUGUGGUACAACAUGCUGACCAACAAUCCCAAGAACGUAAACUUUUUUACCAAGCCCCCAAUUGGAACCUGGGAUCAAGUGGCCGAGGUCCUGAGCUGGCAGUUCUCCUCCACCACCAAGCGAGGACUGAGCAUCGAGCAGCUGACUACACUGGCAGAGAAACUCUUGGGACCUGGUGUGAAUUAUUCAGGGUGUCAGAUCACAUGGGCUAAAUUUUGCAAAGAAAACAUGGCUGGCAAGGGCUUCUCCUUCUGGGUCUGGCUGGACAAUAUCAUUGACCUUGUGAAAAAGUACAUCCUGGCCCUUUGGAACGAAGGGUACAUCAUGGGCUUUAUCAGUAAGGAGCGGGAGCGGGCCAUCUUGAGCACUAAGCCUCCAGGCACCUUCCUGCUAAGAUUCAGUGAAAGCAGCAAAGAAGGAGGCGUCACUUUCACUUGGGUGGAGAAGGACAUCAGCGGUAAGGGAGGCUCCCACCCACCCCACCUGCUGGUGGCUGCUGAGGACUCAUCACUGCUUCUAGUUGCAAGCACCUACUGCCCCCUGGUAAGACCCAGAUCCAGUCCGUGGAACCAUACACAAAGCAGCAGCUGAACAACAUGUCAUUUGCUGAAAUCAUCAUGGGCUAUAAGAUCAUGGAUGCUACCAAUAUCCUGGUGUCUCCACUGGUCUAUCUCUAUCCUGACAUUCCCAAGGAGGAGGCAUUCGGAAAGUAUUGUCGGCCAGAGAGCCAGGAGCAUCCUGAAGCUGACCCAGGUAGCGCUGCCCCAUACCUGAAGACCAAGUUUAUCUGUGUGACACCAACGACCUGCAGCAAUACCAUUGACCUGCCGAUGUCCCCCCGCACUUUAGAUUCAUUGAUGCAGUUUGGAAAUAAUGGUGAAGGUGCUGAACCCUCAGCAGGAGGGCAGUUUGAGUCCCUCACCUUUGACAUGGAGUUGACCUCGGAGUGCGCUACCUCCCCCAUGUGAGGAGCUGAGAACGGAAGCUGCAGAAAGAUACGACUGAGGCGCCUACCUGCAUUCCGCCACCCCUCACACAGCCAAACCCCAGAUCAUCUGAAACUACUAACUUUGUGGUUCCAGAUUUUUUUAAAUCUCCUACUUCUGCUAUCUUUGAGCAAUCUGGGCACUUUUAAAAAUAGAGAAAUGAGUGAAUGUGGGUGAUCUGCUUUUAUCUAAAUGCAAAUAAGGAUGUGUUCUCUGAGACCCAUGAUCAGGGGAUGUGGCGGGGGGUGGCUAGAGGGAGAAAAAGGAAAUGUCUUGUGUUGUUUUGUUCCCCUGCCCUCCUUUCUCAGCAGCUUUUUGUUAUUGUUGUUGUUGUUCUUAGACAAGUGCCUCCUGGUGCCUGCGGCAUCCUUCUGCCUGUUUCUGUAAGCAAAUGCCACAGGCCACCUGUAGCUACGUACUCCUGGCAUUGCACUUUUUAACCUUGCUGACAUCCAAAUAGAAGAUAGGACUAUCUAAGCCCUAGGUUUCUUUUUAAAUUAAGAAAUAAUAACAAUUAAAGGGCAAAAAACACUGUAUCAGCAUAGCCUUUCUGUAUUUAAGAAACUUAAGCAGCCGGGCAUGGUGGAUCACGCCUGUAAUCCCAGCACUUUGGGAGGCCGAGGCAGGUGGAUCAUAAGGUCAGGAGAUCAAGACCAUCCUGGCUAACACGGUGAAACCCCAUCUCUACUAAAAGUACAAAAAAUUAGCUGGGUGUGGUGGCAGGCGCCUGUAGUCCCAGCUACUCGGGAGGCUGAGGCAGGAGAAUAGCUUGAACCUGAGAGGCAGAGGUUGCAGUGAGCCAAAAUCGCACCACUGCACACUGCACUCCAUCCUGGGCGACAGUCUGAGACUCUGUCUCAAAAAAAAAAAAAAAAGAAAAAGAAACUUCAGUUAACAGCCUCCUUGGUGCUUUAAGCAUUCAGCUUCCUUCAGGCUGGUAAUUUAUAUAAUCCCUGAAACGGGCUUCAGGUCAAACCCUUAAGACAUCUGAAGCUGCAGCCUGGCCUUUGGUGUUGAAAUAGGAAGGUUUAAGGAGAAUCUAAGCAUUUUAGACUUUUUUUAAUAAAUAGACUUAUUUUCCUUUGUAAUGUAUUGGCCUUUUAGUGAGUAAGGCUGGGCAGAGGGUGCUUACAACCUUGACUCCCUUUCUCCCUGGACUUGAUCUGCUGUUUCAGAGGCUAGGUUGUUUCUGUGGGUGCCUUAUCAGGGCUGGGAUACUUCUGAUUCUGGCUUCCUUCCUCCCCCACCCUCCCGACCCCAGUCCCCCUGAUCCUGCUAGAGGCAUGUCUCCUUGCGUGUCUAAAGGUCCCUCGUCCUGUUUGUUUUAGGAAUCCUGGUCUCAGGACCUCAUGGAAGAAGAGGGGGAGAGAGUUACAGGUUGGACAUGAUGCACACUAUGGGGCCCCAGCGACGUGUCUGGUUGAGCUCAGGGAAUAUGGUUCUUAGCCAGUUUCUUGGUGAUAUCCAGUGGCACUUGUAAUGGCGUCUUCAUUCAGUUCAUGCAGGGCAAAGGCUUACUGAUAAACUUGAGUCUGCCCUCGUAUGAGGGUGUAUACCUGGCCUCCCUCUGAGGCUGGUGACUCCUCCCUGCUGGGGCCCCACAGGUGAGGCAGAACACCUAGAGGGCCUCCCCGCCUGCCCGCCUUGGCUGGCUAGCUCGCCUCUCCUGUGCGUAUGGGAACACCUAGCACGUGCUGGAUGGGCUGCCUCUGACUCAGAGGCAUGGCCGGAUUUGGCAACUCAAAACCACCUUGCCUCAGCUGAUCAGAGUUUCUGUGGAAUUCUGUUUGUUAAAUCAAAUUAGCUGGUCUCUGAAUUAAGGGGGAGACGACCUUCUCUAAGAUGAACAGGGUUCGCCCCAGUCCUCCUGCCUGGAGACAGUUGAUGUGUCAUGCAGAGCUCUUACUUCUCCAGCAACACUCUUCAGUACAUAAUAAGCUUAACUGAUAAACAGAGAGAAUAUUUAGAAAGGUGAGACUUGGGCUUACCAUUGGGUUUAAAUCAUAGGGACCUAGGGCGAGGGUUCAGGGCUUCUCUGGAGCAGAUAUUGUCAAGUUCAUGGCCUUAGGUAGCAUGUAUCUGGUCUUAACUCUGAUUGUAGCAAAAGUUCUGAGAGGAGCUGAGCCUUGUUGUGGCCCGUUAAAGAACAGGGUCCUCAGGCCCUGCCCGCUUCCUGUCCACUGCCCCCUCCCCAUCCCCAGCCCAGCCGAGGGAAUCCCGUGGGUUGCUUACCUACCUAUAAGGUGGUUUAUAAGCUGCUGUCCUGGCCACUGCAUUCAAAUUCCAAUGUGUACUUCAUAGUGUAAAAAUUUAUAUUAUUGUGAGGUUUUUUGUCUUUUUUUUUUUUUUUUUUGGUAUAUUGCUGUAUCUACUUUAACUUCCAGAAAUAAACGUUAUAUAGGAACCGUC